CGCAUCUGUGCAUGCAGCAUAUCAAUAAGCGGAGGAAAAGAAACUAACAAGGAUUCCCCUAGUAACGGCGAGUGAAGCGGGAAGAGCUCAAAUUUGAAAUCUUAAAGGGUUUCCCUUUACGAAUUGUAGUUUAAAGAAGUGUUUUCUGUUGAGGUUUUGGUAAAAGUUCUUUGGAAUAGGACAUCAUAGAGGGUGAGAAUCCCGUAUUUGACCUUUACUUUCAACUUUGUGAUACACUUUCAAAGAGUCGGAUUGUUUGGGAAUGCAGUCCAAAAUGGGUGGUAAAUUUCAUCUAAAGCUAAAUAUUGGCGAGAGACCGAUAGCGAACAAGUACCGUGAGGGAAAGAUGAAAAGAACUUUGAAAAGAGAGUUAAACAGUACGUGAAAUUGUCAAAAGGGAAGCGUUUGACACCAGUGUUGUUUUUCUGAAAAUCAAUUAAAGAACUGUUAAUGCUAAGCUGUUUAGACUUUAUCAGCUAUCUGUUUAGUUUUGAGCUUUUCUUUAAUGCACUUUUCAGUUAACAAGUCAACAUCAAUUUCUUUUGCUGUAAAAAAGCUUGAGGAAGGUGGCUUGAGAUUCGUCUUAAGUGUUUAUAGCCUCUUGCCUAUGCAGUCGGAGAGAUUGAGGUCUGCAGCGUAGAUCCUUCGGGGCUAAAUGCAUUUGUGCUAAGUUAUAGCAUUUUAUAGACAACUUGUUGACUAUGAUUUGUCUUGUAGCUUACUCGCUUAUGUUAUUUUACCUACGCUUAGGAUGUUGAAUCUGUGCGAGACUAC
rnacentral:rRNA from 1 species